rnacentral:misc_RNA from 1 species
GACGAAGAACGCAGCGAAAUGCGAUAAGUAAUGCGAAUUGCAGAAUUCCAGUGAGUCAUCGAAUCUUUGAACGCACAUUGCGCCCCUUGGUAUUCCGAGGGGCAUGCCUGUUCGAGCGUCAUUAUAACCCCUCAAGCUCAGCUUGGUGUUGGGGCCUGCUGCACUGGCAGCCCUUAAAAUCAGUGGCGGCGCCAUCUGGCUCUAAGCGUAGUAAUUCUUCUCGCUAUGGAGUCCUGGUGGAUGCUUGCCAUCAACCCCCAAUUUUUCUAUGGUUGACCUCGGAUCAGGUAGGGAUACCCGCUGAACUUAAGCAUAUCAAUAAGCGGAGGA